GCUGGCGGCACGCCUAACACAUGCAAGUCGAACGAAGUAGCAAUACUUAGUGGCAGACGGGUGAGUAACAUGUAGGUAUCUACCCUUUGGCCUGGAAUAACACGAGGAAACUUGUGCUAAUACCGGAUAAGUCUUUACGGAGAAAGCUUUAUGCACCAUUGGAUGAGCCUGCACUUGAUUAGUUUGUUGGUGGGGUAAUGGCCUACCAAGACUGUGAUCAAUAGCUGAUUUGAGAGGAUGAUCAGCCACAUUGGGACUGAGACACGGCCCAAACUCCUACGGGAGGCAGCAGUGGGGAAUCUUGCACAAUGGAGGAAACUCUGAUGCAGCGAUGCCGCGUGAGUGAAGAAGGCCCUUGGGUUGUAAAGCUCUUUCGUCGGGGAAGAAAAUGACUGUACCCGAAUAAGAAGGUCCGGCUAACUUCGUGCCAGCAGCCGCGGUAAUACGAAGGGACCUAGCGUAGUUCGGAAUUACUGGGCUUAAAGAGUUCGUGGUGGUUGAAAAAGUUAGUGGUGAAAUCCCAGAGCUUAACUCUGGAACUGCCAUUAAAACUUUUCAGCUAGAGUAUGAUAGAGGAAAGCAGAAUUUCUAGUGUAGAGGUGAAAUUCGUAGAUAUUAGAAAGAAUACCAAUUGCGAGGGCAGCUUUCUGGAUCAUUACUGACACUGAGGAACGAAAGC
rnacentral:rRNA from 1 species